CUUGGUCAUUUAGAGGAAGUAAAAGUCGUAACAAGGUUUCCGUAGGUGAACCUGCGGAAGGAUCAUUAUUGAAAUAAACCUGGUGGGUUGUUGCUGGUUCUCUAGGGAGCAUGUGCACACCUUGUCAUCUUUAUAUCUCCACCUGUGCACUUUUUGUAGACCUUUCAGGUCUAUGUUGCUUCAUUUACCCCAAUGUAUGUUAAUAGAAUGUUGUGCCUAUAUAAUAUAUACAACUUUCAGCAACGGAUCUCUUGGCUCUCGCAUCGAUGAAGAACGCAGCGAAGCGCGAAAUGUAGUGUGAAUCGCAGAACAUUGUGAAUCAUCGAAUCUUUGAACGCACAUUGCGCCUCCAGUAACUUGGAGGCAUGCCUGUCUGAGCGUCAUUUAAAACCAUAGACCCUUCUGGGUUUGUAUUGGGCCUCGCCUCCGGGCGUAGCCUCAAAGUCAUCGGUCUUAUACGCGGACGAGCUCCAUUCGGACGGAACGUGUGCAGACCUUAAUACAUCUGACUUGACCUCAGAUCAGGUAGGACUACCGCCUGAACUUAAGCAUAUCAAUAAGCGGAGGA
rnacentral:rRNA from 1 species